rnacentral:rRNA from 1 species
UGCGUAGGCGGACUAAUAAGUCAGUGGUGAAAUCUCUCGGCUCAACCGGGAAACUGCCAUUGAUACUGUUAGUCUUGAGUUCGGUUGAGGUAGGCGGAAUGCGUAAUGUAGCGGUGAAAUGCUUAGAUAUUACACAGAACACCAAUUGCGUAGGCAGCUUACUAGACCGACACUGACGCUGAGGCACGAAAGCGUGGGUAGCGAACAGGAUUAGAUACCCUGGUAGUCC